CUAUUUCUCUCUUUAUAUCUAUUGAUAUUUGCUUAAUAUUUUAAGGUUGGGUACAUGUUAUGCCCUUUUAUUCCCUCUUGACAAACUAAAUUUUAUCAUUAAUUAAUUAUAAGUUUUGCCUUUUUUCCCCCUCGUACCAGGGAUCGAAUUCAGGACCUUGUGCUUGCAAGGCAGGCGUAGCACCACUGAGCUAAAUCCCUAGCAAGCAUUGCCUUUUGUGCAGAUUCAGCCCAUUGUUGACUGGCUCUAAGGCAAGAAAGGCAUGGUGGAAAGGCCAUGGUGGAAGAGAACUACUAACAUGGCAGCCGUGAAGCAGGGAGGAGAUCUCUGGACAAGGCAUUGACUGCAUCUUCUUGGAGCGCAUCAUGGACACUACUCUUUUGUGUUUGAGAAGUUUCACAUUAGAGAUUGAGUCAUGAAUUACCAAUCUGAGAAAAAAAUGAAUAAUUAAAUAGCUAGAUUUAUAUUGGCAUUUCACAGAGUUAGAUAUUUGAAAUUCCAGCAAUUAAGGAAGGCAAGUAAUUGAAAUUUUUCAUCUUUAAGAAUAAAUUGACAAUUUUCUUCUUAUAUCCAAUGUUAUCUGGUUCACAUGGGCUUAGGCACAAUGAUGGUAGCACACAGAGGAGGUCAUUGAAAGGCUCCUAAUUUGAAGAUCAGCUAUCUCCCAUCCCCAAGAAGAUAGAGAAAGCAGGAAAAAAAUCAGUAUCAAAUUGAUAGGCUUGGCCAUCUGCAGAUGUUUAACCCUAAGAGAUUUCUGUAAAUGGUUGCUAGUAGAGAUGAAUGAAACUCCCAAAUGCAAUAGAAAUAUUUUGAAAGGAGCCUCAACUUUAAAAUGCCUAUAAUGCAAUGAUAUUUGUGAUAUCCAAAGUAAGACUCUACCAUAAGAGGAAGCUGAUUUGUGUAUAUAUGUGUAUAGAGAAAACAAGAAUUGGGAGGUUUUAUCUGGCACCUUCAUGGAAAAGAUGCUGUCCUGGAAAGCACUGAUAUUCUUGGUAUUAGAUGUGUUAGUGCUGUUUCAAGGCAUGGAUCAUUUGUAGACUUCCUCAAAGUCUAAAUUGUGUAUUCUUUCUACCUACUUAACUAUACUUCUGAUCUGUGUUCAUUAAAUAGCCAAUGUGCUACUCUAGUUUCCUAGGAAAGUUUUGCCAGUUAAGUGGAAGCAGCAGCAAAAUGUGAUCGUUAAGAAGGUAGACCUCGAUGUUAGUGGGUUCAAGUCCUGGUUCUUCUACUUCUGAGAUGUGUAGCCUUGGGCACAUUAUAUAAUACUUCUCAUCUUAUCUGUAAAAUUGGGAUAUUUGUAGGCCCCGUCUCACAGAUUUGUUAUUAACUUUAACCACCUUUUCUGUAUAUAAAGCAUUUAAAAUUGUGUUUGGCCCAGAGUAGAGAUAAUUUACAUUUUAUUAACUUAAAAAUGAUAAGAUGUAACUUGUCCCCACAAGUUUUUAGGUUACUAUAAGCAAAAUUUCAGUUUGUUUUACACUAACAACAGUGUAAGCCCUAGUAAAUUUGAUUAGUUUGAUUCAGUCACCUAAACAAAAACAAAGCUUCCUCAAAAAUUAAAUCAACUAUCUGCAGAGUCUGUGUUUAAUCAAAUGAACGUUAAAUUCUGAUACCUGCAUUUUAAAUUGUAAUGCCUAAUGUAAGAAAAGGUAAUAAUAAUGCAAUUUAUUGUUGCAUAAUACAUGU
ensembl:lncRNA